rnacentral:tRNA from 1 species
AGUUGGUUUAGGACGCCUGCCUGUCACGCAGGAGAUCACGAGUUCGAGUCUCGUACGGACCG